rnacentral:lncRNA from 1 species
GGGAAAAUGUGGAGUGUCAGUCAAGAGGCAACACUAGGAGGCAAGGAAUCUGCAUUUCUUUCAGACCUUGGCAGAGAGCGCCCUGGGAAAUGCGGAUAUAGAAGGUCAGGAGAACAUCUCUCCUGGUUAUACAGCAUUCCAGAACACUUCUUAUUCCUGUAGCACCUCUUCAAGUGAGAUGGCAGACCACCUCAGGAUGGAAAUGUAUUUCUUCAUCCCCCUCUCUACUUCCCUGUGACCUCCUGCAAAUAAGG